UACGGGGGGUGCGAGCGUUGUCCGGAAUCACUGGGCGUAAAGGGCGCGUAGGUGGUUUGAUAAGGGUGUGGUGAAAGCUCAGGGCUCAACCCUGAGUCGGCCGUCGAUACUGCGAGGCUUGAGCACUGUAGAGGCAGGUGGAAUUCCGGGUGUAGCGGUGGAAUGCGUAGAGAUCCGGAAGAACACCGGUGGCGAAGGCGGCCUGCUGGGCAGUAGCUGACGCUGAGGCGCGACAGCGUGGGGAGCAAACAGG
rnacentral:rRNA from 1 species